CCUACGGGAGGCAGCAGUGAGGAAUAUUGGUCAAUGGCCGUAAGGCUGAACCAGCCAAGUCGCGUGAAGGAAGCAGGAUCUAUGGUUUGUAAACUUCUUUUAUAGGGGAAUAAAGGUAUCCACGUGUGGAUAUUUGCAUUUACCCUAUGAAUAAGCAUCGGCUAACUCCGUGCCAGCAGCCCCGGUAAUACGGAGGAUGCGAGCGUUAUCCGGAUUUAUUGGGUUUAAAGGGUGCGUAGGUUGUUUUUUAAGUCAGCGGGGAAAGUUUGUGGCUCAACCAUAAAAUUGCCGUGGAAACUGGAAGACUUGAGUGUGUUUGAGGUAGGCGGAAUGCGUGGUGUAGCGGUGAAAUGCAUAGAUAUCACGCAGAACUCCGAUUGCGAAGGCAGCUUACUAAGCCAUAACUGACACUGAAGCACGAAAGCGUGGGGAUCAAACAGGAUUAGAUACCCUAGUAGUC
rnacentral:rRNA from 1 species